GACCUGUUGGAGAAGACGACUCUAUGGCCACAUGAGCGAAGAAUCCAGGUGUUCGAUUUCAGCUUUUAUGUGAAGCUGCGUUGCUACUCUGUUGAGUGCUAACAGCGUUGUUAGCCCGCCAUUUCACUGAAGCUAAGGCUUUCUACCCAUGAAAUACAGAUACCAUUUGGAAUGUGAUUCCUCCUGCCUACACAGUGACCUCUGAGGAUUUGGAACAAGCUGUGAG